AUGACAAUGUUUUCAGUGAAAAUUAGAGGAGAAAUAUCUUCCUUGAGAAGAGGGACAGACAUGGCCAAAGCCAGCAUAGAUUCAGUGGCCAUAUCUGGAACCACAGCCAUGGCUCAGACCACUGAAUCCACCAUGGCCACAGCCACAGACACCAUAGACUCUGUGACCGUAUCUGGAACCACAGCAAUGGCUCAGACCACUGAAUCCACAAUGGCCACAGCCACAGACACCAUAGACUCUGUGGCCGUAUCUGGAACCACAGCAAUGGCUCAGACCACUGAAUCCACCAUGGCCACAGCCACAGACACCAUAGACUCUGUGACCAUAUCUGGAACCACAGCCAUGGCUGUGACCACUGAAUCCUCUAUGGCCAUAGCCACAGCCACCAUAGUGGUUUCCGUAGUAGUGGCACAUUGUGUCAGGAGUUGAGGAUUUGGUGGGAGGUUGAAGGUGAAUUUCCUGAGAAUGAAUAGCACCUCUUACAACCAGACUUUUAUACUCCCUCAGUGUGAGUGUGGUCAACCACAACAAAGAAAUGUCACUGUCUUUGAAAAGUCACCUUAAUGAAAAGUGGUACUAUUGGGACAUAGUUUUGUUAUUAUUAAGGAUACAACCAAAAAUGCAUGAAGCAUUGUUUCUUUGAAUUUACCUUAAUGUUCAUACCUCAGAACCAGACUUGGUAUCAAAUAGGUAAGCUUGUAUUUCCACAGUGUUCUAAAUCUACAUCCUAGGAUCAAGAAGCCUACAUCUAUAAGCUGAGAUUUCCUUACAAUUAUCAACAGAAUUUUUUGUCCUCCAAAUACAGCUAGUGUUUUCCUGAAAGAUGAUAUUUUCGCCAUUUAUGAAACAAAAACUAAAAUGCAUGUCAAAUGAUCAAAACGACUACAAUUCAUGGAAGGCCAUGAGAUUGAUUAAUCAGAGAGAACUCCUGGACAAGCAUGCUGUUUUUCUGCAUUGUUGCAGAUCAGGGUGAAAACUGUUUAAGCAGUUUCCUGUUUGUGGGGAUGACAUUCAAGUCUUGUGAUCAGAUUAUUGAAGUCUACCUUGUAUAGGUGUUUUCUGAUUACAACAUAUAUCACGUGCUUCCUAUACACACAAGAGGUCUCUCAAGUUUUUCUGCAAAUGUCAUUUUUCUUUGUCUCUCAAAGCUUUUUCUCAAUCUUAUUCAUUCUGUAAUAAUUUCUUCUAGGAGCUUCCUUCAAGCACUGCAUUCC
rnacentral:lncRNA from 1 species